AACCGUCAACGCAGCUCACAAAGACUCAGUCACAAGUACGCCUUGUUAGCAAUGGCGUACCGGCAGGCCAUGUCCUACUCCAACACCGUCGACGAGUGCUGCGACGGCGGCCGCACGGCCCCCAUGUACUCCAACAACACCGUCGACGAGUGCUACGACGCCGGCCGCCACGGUCAUGGCCACGGCCACGGGCACGGGCACGGCAUGACCAAGAUGUACUCCAACACCACCGACGAGUGCUUCGACGGCGGCCGGACCAAUAUGUACUCCAACACCACCGACGUCGAGUGCUACGACGCCGGCCACCACGGUCACGGCGGCGGCAGGAGGCCGGCUUACGAC
rnacentral:lncRNA from 1 species